GUAAUUUUUGCUUGUAUUUUGGAGAAACUCGAUUGAUUUCUAGCAAACUUGGUUUACCACUACAUCGUCGCUUAUUAUCAUUUGUUGCUGCUUGGGACAAUAAAGUUAAGUCAGCAACCGUCUACCAGACUGCAAGAUUCAUCUCUUCCAAAGGAUGUCAUACCUUUCCAGAUACACUGUGUUGUGUGUGGAUAAGAAAUGCAUAGUGGUACCACCAAUCACCAAAGCUACCAUUCCCCUAUCAGACAAAAGGCUCAUGGGGACAGUUCCUGCAAUUUACAGCAAAGCUCACAAUUGUAG